rnacentral:misc_RNA from 1 species
GAAAUGCGAUACGUAGUGUGAAUUGCAGAAUUCCGUGAACCAUCGAAUCUUUGAACGCAUAUUGCGCUCGAGCCCUCGGGCAAGAGCAUGUCUGCCUCAGCGUCGGUUUAUACCCUCACCCCUCUCUCCUUUUGGAGGGCUGGUCAGCUUCUAGUUGGCCUCAGGGAUGGAUCUGGCUUUCCCAAUUGGUUCACUCCGAUUGGGUUGGCUGAAGCUUAGAGGCUUAAGCAAGGACCCGAUAUGGGCUUCAACUGGAUAGGUAGCACCGGCUUCUGCCGACUACACGAAGUUGUGGCUUGUGGACUUUGCUAGAGGCCAAGCAGGAAACAUGCUUUGCAUGUCUUAAACUUUCGACCUGAGCUCAGGCAAGGCUACCCGCUGAACUUAA